CGCUAAGAAAAUGUUACACUAAAAUGAGUAAGAUUCACACAAAACUGAGCUAAACUGGGACAGCUCAAAAAAUGAGUAAAUUGCAUUUCCAGCGAUAGCGCUGGACCAAGUGCAAAAAUCCAACUGGUGUAAGCCGUAUCCAGCUUUUUACGCUAACGUGAGGGGUGAUUCGAAUAUGACGUUUCUUGCCGACAAUCUAAUUUCAGUUCAAUGCUGUCUUAGUAGGCUGUUUUAUGAGUUUGUUGAUUGAAGUGUCAACAUUUUUCAUUUGAUUAAUUUCACACCAACAGUGAUCCAAAGCGUCAACUACGAGCAUUUUUAUCGGAAAUCAAUUGAAAGUCUGAGAGCUGAAAUCAUCUGAAUUUAACUACAAAGCUCUGCCAAUUCUCACGCACUCUGAUUUGCGUUUUGAAGGUGGUUUUCUAAGCAAAUGAUUCAACUUUUGGCAGCACAUUAUUACCAUAAUAGAACUUUAUAAUAUGCUCUUAUUAUGGGAAUCUAAAGAAUAAACUCGUUAUAUUACCAGACGAA